rnacentral:rRNA from 1 species
UACGUAGGGGGCAAGCGUUGUCCGGAAUUAUUGGGCGUAAAGCGCGCGCAGGCGGUCUCUUAAGUCUGAUGUGAAAGCCCACGGCUCAACCGUGGAGGGUCAUUGGAAACUGGGAGACUUGAGUGUAGGAGAGGAAAGUGGAAUUCCACGUGUAGCGGUGAAAUGCGUAGAGAUGUGGAGGAACACCAGUGGCGAAGGCGACUUUCUGGCCUAUAACUGACGCUGAGGCGCGAAAGCGUGGGGAGCAAACAGG